UUGUAAUCCCAUCAUAUAUGGGUCAACCUUGAUUCUAGCAUAACAGUAACUUAUUUCCUAGAAUAGCACUUUGCUGUAACCAUAUAUACAUAUGUAACUGUACGUUGAAUAAUCAAUAAUCAAUUCAUUCUCCAAUUUUAUUAUGGUAUCAGAGCACCUUCGUGGUGGCUCUUCAAUUUCCGCUGCAACCUUUGUUUUCUUUCACUCUGAUUGAAACAUCUAGGUUUUUUCUCUAUCUUCUUUCAUCAUGGGCAAAAGCGAUGAGUCUUCUCAAAGCUCUGUCGCCGAGACCUCUAAUUCUUUUUUUAUACACUCUUCAGAUCACCCAGGGCUCUUGCUUGUUAACACUUGAUGGUGAUAACUAUCCCACAUGGAAAAGAUCCAUGAUCAUCGCUCUUACAGCCAAGAACAAGAUUGGCUUUGUCGACGGCUCCAUCGAAACACCUUCGCGAGCAAAGAAACCGGCUGACUUCGCCCUCUGGGACAGGUGUGACAAAAUGGUGCUUUCUUGGCUACUCAAUUCAGUUGAACCCGAUUUGGCAGAAGGGGUUGUUUAUGCAAACACAGCACAUGAAAUCUGGAAAGACUUUGAAGAUUGCUUUUCUCAGGGCAAUGCCCCACGGAUCUACCAAAUCCAAAAGGCAAUUGCCUUCCACACCCAAGGUUCGAUGCCUGUAUCCAAUUAUUAUACAAAACUUAAAGGCUAUUGGGAUGAACUAACCUCUUAUAGGGGAACACCAUCUUGCUCUUGUGAUGGAAUGAAAAGCUACAACAAGUUUAAAGAACAAGACCAAAUUAUGCAAUUUUUGAUGGGGUUAAAUGAUUCGUACAAUGCCGUACACGGCCAAAUUCUACUCAUGAAGGAACUCCCGAGUGUUCGAGAGGCAUAUUCACUAAUCAUUCAGGAGGAGAAACAGCGGGAAAUUGGAUCACCUGUCACCGAAGGAGUCUCCAUCGCCGCUGCUGUGAAAACCCAAAAAGGAGCCGGAUCUUCACACCAUCGUCCUGGAAAUCAGACCAGUUUCAGAGGCACACCGACCUCCAGUGAAUCCCCACUGCACUGUACCUAUUGCAAUCAGGAUCAUCACACAGUCGAUCGUUGUUACAAGCUUCAUGGCUAUCCUCCUGGACAUAAACUUUAUCGUGGUGGUUCCAACCCGCCUGGACAUGCUAACACGGGGAGUGCAUCGCGCAAUGGAGGCCGCAGCAAGUGGCACGCUUCAUCUUCAUAUGCCCAUCAGGUUCAAGUGAGCUCACCAGCAGCUGUUGCCCAAACUGAACAGACCAGCACAACCAGUUCUCAUGUGGAUCAAUCCACUCAAAAUCUGAAAAACAUUUUUGGUGGCCUUUCUGUAGAUCAAUGCAAACAAUUGGCAGCAGCAAUGGUACACUUAUCUAAACCCACAUCCGAAAAUACCGAUGCUUUUGCCAACGCUGCAGGUCUGCCCAAUUCCCCAUCUGUUAAUUCGAUUUUGUCUCACUCUUGGAUACUUGAUAGUGGUGCCACAGACCAUAUUUCAUCUGAUUCCUCCCUUUUUGUUCACUCUAAUCCCUCUCGUAUGCCAUGUGUUAAUUUGCCUACAAGUUCAUCAGUGCCCAUUGAUUCCACCGGCACUAUUCUCUUUAAUAAAAACAUUACCCUUGACAAUGUUCUUCACGUGCCUUCAUUUCGUCUCAAUCUAAUGUCUGCUAGUAAACUCACAAAAUCUUUACGUUGUUGUAUAAUUCUGUUUCCUGAUUUUUGUGUCAUACAGGACUUGGCUACGGGGAAGAUGAUUGGGUGGGGUAAACAAGAUGGAGGACUCUAUUACAUGUCAUCUGCUUCUCAAGCACCACCUUCCUGCCAUGUCUCCUCUUCGUCCACCCUUUGGCAUCAACGACUUGGGCAUCCUUCACUGGCUCGUCUUAAAUUACUUUCUUCCUUUAUCCCUUCCAUGUCUGUUUCUUUUGAUAAUAAUUGUCAUGUUUGUCCAAUGGCCAAACAAACUCGAAGUUCUUUUCCCUUAAGUAAUUUUUCUACUAAUGCACCUUUUUCUUUACUUCAUUGUGAUAUUUGGGGACCCCACCGGAUUUCAUCACAUUCCGGUGCGCGUUAUUUUCUCACUAUUGUUGACGAUUUUACUAGGUGCACUUGGGUUUUUCUCAUGAGUCGCAAAUCUGACACCCAAUCUCUGCUCAAAUCCUUCUUUCUUUUUGUCCGCACUCAAUUCAAUGUUCAUAUUAAAAUCAUACGCACUGAUAAUGGGUCUGAAUUUCUUUCCAUGAAAGAUUUUUUCCUUAAUAAUGGGGUUGAGUUUCAACGUUCAUGCGUGUACAUACCCCAACAAAAUGGCGUCGUUGAACGCAAGCAUCGCCACAUUCUCAAUGUCGCACGUGCUUUGCGCUUCCAAUCCAAUUUACCCUUAUCUUUUUGGGGGGAGUGUGUUUUGACCGCAGUCUACCUUAUUAACAGGUUACCUACCCCAUUACUCAACCAAAAAUCCCCUUUUGAACUACUUUACGAUAAACCACCUCCUUUCUCCCAUCUUCGAGUUUUUGGUUGCCUUUGCUAUGCUACUAUUGUUCAUCCUCACCAUAAAUUUGAUUCCCGUGCCCGUCGUUGCGUCUUUCUUGGUUAUCCUACAGGUCAAAAAGGUUACAAACUGUACGACCUUGACUCUCAUCACUUUCUUGUUAGUCGGGAUGUCACCUUUCAUGAAACCAUUUUUCCUUAUGCUGACAAACACUCACUACCUUUCCCACAUCCAGUCCUCCCUUUACCAUUGGACCCACCUCACCCAGAUCCUUUUCCCAUUCGCCCACACUCCUCUCCACCGCCCUCAUUUGAACCCAAUAUCCGCACUGACACACAUACUCCACACGGGUCCUCUUCCUUUGACUUUACUCCUUCAUCACCUUCACCUGCACAUGGGCCAUCUCCUCCGGUCGCCCUUAGUGGGCCUGCUUCUUCUACCGGGCCUGAGUCCCCUCCUGGGCCUCCUCUCCCUACACCGUCCUUUCCACCUGCGCCUAUUCCUACCCGACAGUCCGCCCGACCAAAACAUCCCCCAUCUUGGCAUCAGUAUUAUCACCUCUCCAAUGCUGCUGUCUCCCCACGCUCUUCAUCCCACCCGGCGCCUUCUCCUUCAGGUACUCAUCACCCUUUAUCUCAUUUUUUGUCUCUUUCUCGUUUUUCUCCUUCCCAUAGGGUUUUUCUAGCUAACAUUUCAGGCACAACUGAGCCCACUUCCUAUACCCAAGCUGUCAAAGAUCCUCACUGGAGAGCCGCUAUGCAAGAUGAACUAGAUGCUUUGGAACAACAAAACACUUGGACUCUCAUGCCCUUACCUUCUGGCCACAAACCCAUUGGUUGUAAAUGGGUUUACAAGAUUAAAUAUAAAUCUGAUGGCACGAUUGACCGCUACAAAGCCCGCCUUGUUGCCAAGGGCUAUACUCAGAUUGAAGGCCUCGAUUAUCAGGAAACUUUUUCUCCAACUGCCAAGCUCACCACUCUUCGUUGCCUUCUCACAGUGGCGGCUGCUCGUAGUUGGUUCAUCCACCAACUUGAUGUAAAUAAUGCCUUCCUUCAUGGUGACUUAUCUGAAGUCGUGUACAUGGACCCUCCUCCUGGUCUUCGCCGACAGGGGGCGCAUCUUGUAUGUCGUCUCAACAAGUCUUUAUAUGGUCUGAAACAAGCCUCCCGCAACUGGUUCACUAAGUUUUCCACAGCCAUUCAGGCAGCUGGUUUCCAACAGUCCAAGGCAGAUUAUUCACUUUUUACUCGAGUUAAUGGUAAUUCUCUCACUGUCGUUCUUAUAUAUGUUGAUGACAUACUUGUUACUGGCAACAAUUUGGAUGAAAUCAACAGUCUCAAAUCAUUCUUGCUUCGACACUUCCGCAUCAAAGACCUUGGUGAUCUAAAAUACUUUUUGGGGCUUGAAUUCUCUCGAUCAAAACAAGGGAUUUUUAUGUGUCAACGGAAGUAUGCCUUAGAUAUUUUACAAGAUGCAGGCCUACUGGGUGGACGACCAGACUCUUUUCCUAUGGAACAACAUCUGAAGCUUACUCCCACAGAUGGUGCUCCAUUGGAUGAUCCAACCCGUUAUCGACGAUUAGUAGGGAGAUUAAUCUACCUCACAGUUACUCGGCCAGACAUCGUGUAUCCUGUUCAGAUAUUGAGCCAGUUUAUGCAACAACCCAGGAAACCACACUUAGAUGCGGCACUUCGGGUCUUGAGGUUUAUCAAAGGCACACCUGGUCAAGGUUUGUUCUUUCCAGCAGCUAACAACCUUGCCUUAACAGCUUACUGUGAUUCUGACCACGCAGGAUGCCCUACAACGAGAAGGUCAACCACAGGCUAUUGUAUAUUUCUUGGGGGUUCUCUUGUUUCUUGGAAAUCCAAGAAACAAUCAAACGUUGCAAAAUCAACAGCAGAAGCAGAAUAUCGCGCCAUGGCAACCACGUGCCUAGAGAUAAUAUGGCUACGCUACAUUUUGGAUGAUUUAAAAGUCAUUCAGGAUAAGCCCACUAUGUUACAUUGUGACAAUGAAGCUGCUUUGCACAUUGCAGCCAAUCAUGUGUUCCAUGAGCGCACUAAACAUAUAGAGAUAGACUGCCACAUAGUAAGGGAGAAGCUACAAGCAGGAAUCAUCUCUACUUCUCAUGUUCGCUCACAUGUACAGCUUGCCGACAUGUUCACAAAAGCAUUGGGACGAGAUCAGCUAAAAUUCUUAAGUGGCAAGUUGGGACUUCAAAACAUUCACUCUCCAACUUGAGGGGGAGUGUUGAGAAUAAAAUUCCCAUAAUUUAGGAGAUUGCAUAUAGCAUAAUUGUUGUAAUCCCAUCAUAUAUGGGUCAACCUUGAUUCUAGCAUAACAGUAACUUAUUUCCUAGAAUAGCACUUUGCUGUAACCAUAUAUACAUAUGUAACUGUACGUUGAAUAAUCAAUAAUCAAUUCAUUCUCCAAUUUUAUUACAUUAUAUUAAUUUAAUUUAAUACUGCAUAUGAAAAUUGUCACAUUCCGGGAUUUGCUCCGCCGUAGCACGAUAUUGUCCGCUUUGGGCCUCCCUUCUCUG
rnacentral:lncRNA from 1 species